CAGGGUGCGUCACCGGAGCAGAUGCCCGGGGCGGUUGGAGGCUCCCGGGCUCCCGCUGACUCAUCAGAAAGGCCUGCCGCGCGGCCCGGGGGGCGGGGGAACGUGGGGGACCGCGGGGAGCUGCCGGGCAGGCGGCAGCCGAGGUCGUUUGAGGCGCGCAGAGCCGGAAAACCCCACGGAGACGGCUGGGCGGGGGCGGGGCGAUCGGCACUGACCAGGUCACCUGCAGCGCGGGCUGACGGCGGGCGACUGAAGGAGGGAGCAAGUCUCCCACCCCCAGCAGCCGGCGGCCGCUUCCGAAGUCUGCCCCCUUCCACUGCGGAGCGGCGCCCCGCGGGCCCCCAGCCAGCGCGCCCGAGGCGCCCCCGCCCCGUGUCGCUCGCGCUGCGUUAUUGGGAGAAGGCGGUUCCUGAGCACCAGCACGGGCCUCGGUGACACCGGAGGUCGCUGGGGUCUUCCCCUUCCCCUUAAGACUCUGGGUCUGUCUGUGGGAAGAGCUUUCAUUCCCCACCCCACUCUAUGCCGACCCUCUCCGGGGGAGGCUCCACUGGCACUGUAGACACCACGUGCUGGGUAAAAAGGCCUGGUCCCAGCGCUUCCCUGUCACUGACUGCUAACCACAAGGCGCCGUGGCACUCAGGAAAUGCGGCAGGGGGGCUGGAGAACUAUCAGGAAGGGGUGUGGGCAGAGAAGAGGCUUCCACCCUGUCUUGGAACACGGACACAGUCCAUGGCAUUCAAAAGAGGUGGGAGGCUCCUCUGUGCACGUGCCUUCCGCCCCCGGGACAGGUGGAGGAGGGGAUUUGACUGGUCCUCACCCUCUGCAUUUAUAGUCUGGGCACACCUUGGGCAGUGCCGCAGGAGGGCGCUGUGGAGUACAGGCACAUGCAGAAGGUGUGGCGAGGGCUUCCUGGUGGAGCUGGCAGUAGGGCAGGGACCUUGAAAAGGAAUGAUUUGAACAGAUCGGAAAAGACAUUCCAGACAGAAACAAAUGCCUGAAACCCAAACCGAGAAGCAGGAAAGAGCAGACUGCGUUCUCGGAAUGGCAGGGAGUCCAGUUUGACUGGAAGACCUGAGGCUCAGAGGCGCAUCACGGCCCAGAUGCAGACCACAGAGGCAGGCACAGUGGCCCAGGAGGACCGAGGACCUGGAGUCACGGGGUUCCGCCCGCUGCCCCUGGGGAACCGAGUCAUGCCAGUUCCCAGACAGAUGAAUUCCUUCCAAGAAUUCCACAGUCCUGCUCAAUCCUAGCCGCCAAGCCUCCUGGCCUUGGAUGGCUGCUGUCUAAUGCAGAUCCUCUUUCAUCCAGAUUUCAAAUAUUUUUCCUAUUCUGUCCUUUGAUCACUAACGUUUAUGUUUAUCUACAUCAGCAUCCCUCAAUCCUGACGGCACUCUGAAAUUAUCUAGGGGUGCUUUAAAAAAGAAAAAUGUUGAUGCAUGGCCCUCCUCCAGGAAAUCUGAUUUUAUUGGUCUGGGGUGGGGCCCAGGCAUCAGCAGACUUUUAAUGAGCAGUUAGAGAGGAGAACCACUGAUGGAGAUGGUCACCAGGGAGUGUCCAGGUCAGACCGCCACAGAAGAGUGCAGCCUCCUGGCCUUCAGACCCAACUGGGACAAACCCUGAGAACAGCCUUGGCAGACCUCCAGGGGCAGCUGGACUCCCUGAGGCUGGAUGUUGCAGCCUCUCCCAGGCAUCCACUCUGCAGCUGAGGCCAAAGUUUCCAACGGGAAGGGAGGGGAGAGUCUCCGAGUCUGGGCCUUGCCACUCCUCACUCAGCAUCUGACCAUCCCCACCUCCUGGAUCUACAGGGUUCAUAGAGGAGGACCCAGAAGAGGGAAAGUCAGGCUGAGGAACUUGGCCUCCCUGCUGCAAGGGAAAUGACAUCGGUUACCAAGGAGGUGACCAGCUAUCCUUUUCCAAGACUGAAAAGCAGAAAUACGGCCCUGAGGCUAGAGGGUCUAAGAGAACAAUAGGAAGAAUUUCCUGACAAAGGACAAUGUUGCCUAAAGGACUCAGGAAGCUCUGUGAAAACAGGAGACUCCCGAGCAGAGCACCAGACCCUUCUCCACCAGGCAGUGUUUUUCCCAUAUGACAGGUGAGAAAACUGAGGCUGAGAGACAUGUAAUAACUUGCUGAAGCAGCAACCAGCACACCAUAUAGCUGAAAUCUGUAGAUCAGCAGUUAAAAGUGGUAGGGCAAGUCCUCUCUGACUUUCAGCGCUAAGAGCCUAGGAUUCUGUGUUUUUCUGCUUAAGCCUGGGAAUCAGAGUCCUACAAAAGCCGCGCCUAAUCCUGGGGGUGUGGGCUUUAAACCCAGAGAGAAAGCAUGUUAUUGGAAUACUCCUGCACUUUUCUCCCUUUGAAUCCCACCACGGAAAGAAAAUUCUGUGACGUGUACCCAGUAUUUAUUGGAGGGUAUUUCCUAGCAAGAAAAUGAGGGCGAUUGACCAGGCACGGUGGCUCACGCCUGUAAUCCCAGCACUUUGGGAGGUCAAGGUGAGUGGAUCACAUGAGGUCAGGAGUUCGAGACCAGCCUGACCAACAUGGAGAAACCCCGUCUCUACUAAAAAUACAAAAUUAGCCGGGCGUGGGGUGGCGCAUGCCUGUAAUUCCAGCUACUCCUGAGGCUGUGGCAGCAGAAUCGCUUGAACCCGGGAGACAGAGGUUGCAGUGAGUUGAGAUCAAGCCAUCGCACUCCAGCCUGGGCAACAGAGUGAGACUCUGUCAAAAAAGAAAGUGUGGUACAUCUAUACUAAUGGAGUACUAUUUAGCCGUC
rnacentral:lncRNA from 10 species